rnacentral:lncRNA from 1 species
UAAGCCCAAACGCCCCUUGGCUACCUCAGGCAAGCUACUGGCAUUACAGGUUCACAGCGGUUUCUUGGCAGCUGUCAAAACGCCAGUGCUUAUCGAAGCCGCUCACCCUGGCUUUUGAGACCGCCCUAUUUCAACACUGUAAGUGGUCGCAGCAGGCCACUUGCUGCCGAGCUGCCCUCACUUCCAGAUCCUCAGAAACCACCCGCAACACAGCGCCCUCACAAACCUGUAGUCCUCGUUCAGUUACAGUCUGAGACAGAUUGCAGUUAAGUGAUCAGAUUAACAAACGGUUGUUUCUGAGCUGGAGACCAGAUCUGCGGAAGCUGAUCGUGUGCCUGCUAGUGUGGCUCCACGCAGCAGUUUUAACUCCAGGUGAGUUUCUUUAUCUUGGAUUCCUCAAGAACAUGUAUGGCCACUCCAGGACUAAGAAGAUGGAAGGCUAAACCAAUGUGCACCUUCUAAUAGUUUGCAUAUAUCCUGCAUGACCUAACA